rnacentral:rRNA from 1 species
UACGUAGGGUGCAAGCGUUGUCCGGAAUUAUUGGGCGUAAAGAGCUCGUAGGCGGUCUGUCACGUCUGCUGUGAAAACUCGGGGCUUAACCCCGGGCCUGCAGUGGGUACGGGCAGACUAGAGUGCGGUAGGGGAGACUGGAAUUCCUGGUGUAGCGGUGAAAUGCGCAGAUAUCAGGAAGAACACCAAUGGCGAAGGCAGCUCUCUGGGACGGUACUGACGCUGAGACGCGAAAGCGUGGGGAGCGAACAGG